GGAGAUGGAUUCUGAGACACGAAUCCAGGCCCUACGGGGUGCAGCAGGCGCGAAAACUUUACAAUGCUGGCAACAGCGAUAAGGGAACCUCGAGUGCCAGGUUACAAAUCUGGCUGUCGAGAUGCCUAAAAAGCAUUUCAUAGCAAGGGCCGGGCAAGACCGGUGCCAGCCGCCGCGGUAACACCGGCGGCUCGAGUGGUAACCGUUAUUAUUGGGUCUAAAGGGUCUGUAGCCGGCCGGAUAAGUCUCUUGAGAAAUCUGGCAGCUUAACUGUCAGGCUUUCAGGAGAUACUGUCUGGCUCGAGGCCGGGAGAGGUGAGAGGUACUUCAGGGGUAGGGGUGAAAUCUUGUAAUCCUUGAAGGACCACCAGUGGCGAAGGCGUCUCACCAGAACGGACCUGACGGCAAGGGACGAAAGCUAGGGGCACGAACCGGAUUAGAUACCCGGGUAGUCCUAGCCGUAAACGAUACUCGCUAGGUGUCGGCCACGGUGCGACCGUUGUCGGUGCCGUAGGGAAGCCG
rnacentral:rRNA from 1 species